rnacentral:rRNA from 1 species
ACGCCUUAUACAUGCAAGUCGAACGAAGUAGCAAUACUUAGUGGCAGACGGGUGAGUAACAUGUAGGUAUCUUCCCUUUGGUGAGGAAUAACACGAGGAAACUUGUGCUAAUACCUCAUAAGUCUUUACGGAGAAAGCUUUAUGCGCCAUUGGAUGAGCCUGCACUUGAUUAGUUUGUUGGUGGGGUAAUGGCCUACCAAGACUGUGAUCAAUAGCUGAUCUGAGAGGAUGAUCAGCCACAUUGGGACUGAGACACGGCCCAAACUCCUACGGGAGGCAGCAGUAGGGAAUAUUGCACAAUGGAGGAAACUCUGAUGCAGCGAUGCCGCGUGAGUGAAGAAGGCCCUUGGGUUGUAAAGCUCUUUCGUCGGGGAAGAAAAUGACUGUACCCGAAUAAGAAGGUCCGGCUAACUUCGUGCCAGCAGCCGCGGUAAUACGAAGGGACCUAGCGUAGUUCGGAAUUACUGGGCUUAAAGAGUUCGUAGGUUGUUAAAAAAGUUGGUGGUGAAAUCCCAGAGCUCAACUCUGGAACUGCCAUCAAAACUUUUUAGCUAGAGUAUGAUAGAGGAAAGCAGAAUUUCUAGUGUAGAGGUGAAAUUCGUAGAUAUUAGAAAGAAUACCAAUUGCGAAGGCAGCUUUCUGGAUCAUUACUGACGCUGAGGAACGAAAGCAUGGGUAGCGAAGAGGAUUAGAUACCCUCGUAGUCCAUGCCGUAAACGAUGUGUGUUAGACGUUGGAAAUUUAUUUUCAGUGUCGCAGCGAAAGCAGUAAACACACCGCCUGGGGAGUACGACCG